GCUGGGUAUGGUAGCACAUGACUGUAAUCCCAGUUACUUGGGAGCCUGAGACAGGAGAAUCACUUGAACCCAAGAGGCAGAGGUUGCGGGAGCCAAGAUCACACCACUGCGCUCCAGCCUGGGUGACAGAGCGAGACUCCAUUUCAAACAAACAAACCAAAAAAAAACAUUGGUGACCUCCGGGGAGCGGGGACCACCAGGUUGACCAAGGAGGGAUGAACCUGGGAGGUGAACUGGCCCAGAUCAGAAAUAGAGCAGGUCAAAAACUCCUGUGCUGAUCAGUAGUGGGAUCUGCUUGUGAUUAGCCACUGCACUGUAGCCUGGGCAACAUAGUGAGACCUUGUCUAUU
rfam:Homo sapiens chromosome 2, GRCh38 reference primary assembly.